rnacentral:rRNA from 1 species
UACGUAGGGGGGCUAGCGUUGUCCGGAAUCAUUGGGCGUAAGAGCUCGUAGGCGGUUUGUCGCGUCUGCCGUGAAAGUCCGGGGCUCAACUCCGGAUCUGCGGUGGGUACGGGCAGACUGGAGUGCGGUAGGGGGAGAAUGGAAUUCCUGGUGUAGCGGUGGAAUGCGCAGAUAUCAGGAGGAACACCGAUGGCGAAGGCAGUUCUCUGGGCCGUAACUGACGCUGAGGAGCGAAAGCGUGGGGGAGCGAACAGG